GACAGAGGGGGCAAGCGUUGCUCGGAAUCAUUGGGCGUAAAGGGCGCGUAGGCGGGAUGGCAAGUCAGUCGUGAAAUCUCUCGGCUCAACCGAGAAACGUCGGCUGAUACUGCCGUUCUUGAGGGAUGCAGAGGAGACUGGAAUUCCCGGUGUAGCGGUGAAAUGUGUAGAGAUCGGGAGGAACACCGGUGGCGAAGGCGGGUCUCUGGGCAUCUCCUGACGCUGAGGCGCGAAAGCGUGGGGAGCAAACGGG
rnacentral:rRNA from 1 species